rnacentral:rRNA from 1 species
AGUGAACGCUGGCGGUAGGCCUAACACAUGCAAGUCGAACGGCAGCACAGUAAGAGCUUGCUCUUACGGGUGGCGAGUGGCGGACGGGUGAGGAAUACAUCGGAAUCUACUUUUUCGUGGGGGAUAACGUAGGGAAACUUACGCUACUACCGCAUACGACCUACGGGUGAAAGCAGGGGAUCUUCGGACCUUGCGCGAUUGAAUGAGCCGAUGUCGGAUUAGCUAGUUGGCGGGGUAAAGGCCCACCAAGGCGACGAUCCGUAGCUGGUCUGAGAGGAUGAUCGGCCACACUGGAACUGAGACACGGUCCAGACUCCUACGGGAGGCAGCAGUGGGGAAUAUUGGACAAUGGGCGCAAGCCUGAUCCAGCCAUACCGCGUGGGUGAAGAAGGCCUUCGGGUUGUAAAGCCCUUUUGUUGGGAAAGAAAAGCAGCAGGUUAAUACCCCGCUGUUCUGACGGUACCCAAAGAAUAAGCACCGGCUAACUUCGUG